CGGGACUCGAGGAGGUGGGGGCUCAAUGAAGAGAUUUUUGAGGGGAUCUUUUUAGUCCUGCGGCAUUGCUGGCGGACGGAGACUCCUAGGGUGUUUUUACGAAUCCAAUGUUACUGAUGAAGAAACCGGCACUUGCAGAUUCCUCCCUGCGGUUUCCAAGGCCCAGACGUUCAAAAUUUCUAAUAAGGAGGAAGAUAUCUGGAAACAACUGGAAGAUGUAACAAGAAACCACAGAGUAACUGAAAACUUUGAAACUACAGGCCAUGGAAUUGGCACACAUUCAAUUUAUUUUAGCUUAUUUGUCAACAAAGGCAUCAUAGUCAUCAAUACCAUUCACCACAGAGGCACCCAUACCUGGGAGCUAGUCAAGGCUGGUCAAGUCUCUCCAUCUUGCAGAGAUGGCUCCAAUGCUGUUAUAUUUGACGUUAUUAAAAAACCUACAUUACCAAUUUCCCUUGUCCCAAAACUCAGGCUGCCAGCAGAGGGUUGGAGGUAUAAAUAGGUGUAGUUACAAGAAUCACAUAUACCCUUUUCCCCAUAUAAGCACUCCACUUUAAUCCACAGAGGUCAGAUACUUGACUAAAUGGAUAGCACCUGGCACUGAGAAAGCUUAAUAAGACGCAGUAAGUUUUAAAGUACCUGCUUUUUGAGGCUAUCAGGCAGUUAGGAUAAUUUAGUAAAAAAAGGAUAGAACACCCUCCUCUCUCCAUAAAGGGCAGGUGUGGGUGUAAUGAUGCAACAGAGGUUGUAGGGCUCUAGAUUGAGACAAGGAAUGAUGUGUAUGCAGUCAGCAGUGCGUGCCAGGCUCUGUAAAUAAGCAGCACUUUUUAUAUAUCGCUUCAUUAAAUCCUUAUCCUAGGAGAUAAGCAGUAUCCAUUUCACAGGCAAGAAAAUUGAGGCUGUGAGUGGUUAUGUAAUUUGACUAAGUUACAUAACUUGUAAAUGGCAGAGCUGGGAUUCAAACCCAAGCUAGCCUGCUUUAAAGUUCAAGUUUUUUUGCACAAUAUUGUGAGGUGGAGAAACUUGUGCAGCAGUGGAUAGCUUGGGCUUACCCUAUGAUUCUGAAAUAAAGACCCAGGCACCCAAGGUUCCAUCCUUCACAAAUGAGGAGUCAAGCCCUACUGCAGGGGAGCAAAUCCUUUGAGCUGACCGGCUUCAUUGCUAGCUGCUGCAUUCUCCUCCUCUUAACUGGAAUGGCACUAAUUUUGAGGAUUACUGACUGCCCAGACGAUUCUAGCCCUGUGUCCCUUAAUCUAAAUAAUCAGAAGCCAAAGUGGCAGAAGAUUCUGCUAUGAAAAGAAAACAUCUUGCAUACAGGAUGCAGAACUAGUUUAGGUAGUCAACUAAAGAAGGUGGCUAUCAGAAAGCUACCCAAAGAUGGUUACCCUACUGGCAGUUGAGAAAGAAUAGGCAAUUGGAUUAUCCUUUGGUUAAAUCAGGCAACUUGAUUUAGAGACAAAUCUCUGCCUGAUGCACUUCUUUCUUCCCUUUGGCUGGAUAUAAUCAGGUCCUAGUUAUCAAGGUCCUUUGGUCCCAAACUGGGGGAUGCUGAUUUCCUGCAUUUUUCAACUAAAAGGGAGUCAGGGACCUAGAACUAUGGUUUAGUUUCUCUGAGUUAAGCCUACAGUCCUCGACUCCCCAGGGUGGUGGUUCUGAGAAGACAGGUUCUUUACACACACAGCCAGGAUGCGCGUGUAUGCUGGCUGGUAGGAGGGGAACAUGAUAUUUAUUAACUAAGGUCAAACAUGCCUAUUGGUAACAUUUUCACAUCCUAAGGUCAAACAUGCCCAUUGGUAACAUUUUCACAUCCUUGCCCUACAGCAGGAUCUCUAGUUUGUUGCCCAGAGAUCUCUCUCAUCUCUGAAUUUCUAGUUCACAGAAACAAGAAAUACCCUUAAGAGUCCAUGUUAAGAAUAUUUUAUUUGUUUUUUGAGAUUACAUAGUCAUUAUUGCUGAUCUAAUACAAUCACUUAGACAUAAAGAUUUCCAAGAACUUCUCAGAAAUGGUGAUCUUUAGAAGUGUUAUUCCUUUCAGUAAGAUGACAGAACUAGAUGAUUACGUAUAUAGAUAUAUAGAUAUAUAUAUAUAUAUGUAUAUAUAGAGUUUAGAACCUGUCCACAUAUAAUUUGCUGGUGUUGCCUAUUUUCCUUCCGUAAUUUUCCUUUAUUGAAAAAGCUUAAUGCAACAAUGCAUUUUGAUUCCUUUUUAAAAACCACGGCAAAGUUAAUUUUGAGAAAACCACAGGAGCAGCAAUAUCAGAUCUGUUUAGAGAAAAGCGAAGCAGCAUAAAAGCUUUGCAGGAGUAUGUGGCCAUGGGGAGCCGUGCUCAUAUGGGCAAGUAGGAUAGGGAGGGAGGAGAGCAGAGGGAAGGUAGAGUAGAUACAUUUUUUUUCUUUGUUUAAAUGAAAAAAAGAAAACUGAAUAUCUCCAUUAAGAAGGCAAAAAAGUGCCAGGCACGGUAGCACACACCUGUGGUUCCAGCUACUCAGGAAGCUGAGGCAGGAGGAUUGCUUGAGCCCAGGAGUUUGAGACCAGCCUGGGCAACAUAGUGAAACCCUGUCUCUAAGGGUGAAAAGAAAAGAAAGAAAGAAGGCAAAAUAUUAGCACAGAUUCAUUGUAGAGAAAAUGUUAUGUAUCCUCACAGACUGGAGCC
rnacentral:lncRNA from 1 species